rnacentral:rRNA from 1 species
CGAACGGGUGAGUAACAUAUCGGAACGUACCGAGCAGUGGGGGAUAACUAAUCGAAAGAUUAGCUAAUACCGCAUAUAUUCUGAGGAAGAAAGCAGGGGACCAUUUGGCCUUGCGCUGUUUGAGCGGCCGAUAUCUGAUUAGCUAGUUGGUGGGGUAAAGGCCUACCAAGGCGACGAUCAGUAGCGGGUCUGAGAGGAUGAUCCGCCACACUGGGACUGAGACACGGCCCAG